AGAUUGAACGCUGGCGGCAUGCUUUACACAUGCAAGUCGUGCGGCAGCGCGGGGGCAACCCUGGCGGCGAGCGGCGAACGGGUGAGGAAUACAUCGGAACGUACCCCGGAGUGGGGGAUAACCCAGCGAAAGUUGGACUAAUACCGCAUAUGCUCUGAGGAGGAAAGCAGGGGACUUCGCAAGAGGCCUUGCGCUCUGGGAGCGGCCGAUGUCCGAUUAGCUAGUUGGUGGGUAAUGGCUCACCAAGGCGACGAUCGGUAGCUGGUCUGAGAGGAUGAUCAGCCACACUGGGACUGAGACACGGCCCAGACU
rnacentral:rRNA from 1 species